GACAGAGGGGGCAAGCGUUGCUCGGAAUCACUGGCGUAAAGGGCGCGUAGGCGGUUUGGCAAGUCGGGCAUGAAAUCUCUCGGCUCAACCGGGAGAGGUUGUCCGAUACUUCCAGACUUGAGGGCAGUAGAGGGUGGUGGAAUUCCGGGUGUAGUGGUGAAAUUCGUAGAUAUUCGGAAGAACACCAGUGGCGAAGGCGACUCGCUGGACAAGUAUUGACGCUGAGGUGCGAAAGCGUGGGGAGCAAACAGG
rnacentral:rRNA from 1 species